AUUGAACGCUGGCGGCAGGCCUAACACAUGCAAGUCGAGCGGAUGAAGGGAGCUUGCUCCUGGAUUCAGCGGCGGACGGGUGAGUAAUGCCUAGGAAUCUGCCUGGUAGUGGGGGAUAACGUCGGGAAACGGCCGCUAAUACCGCAUACGUCCUGAGGGAGAAAGGGGGGGAUCUUCGGACCUCACCCUAUCAGAUGAGCCUAGGUCGGAUUAGCUAGUUGGUGGGGUAAAGGCCUACCAAGGCGACGAUCCGUAACUGGUCUGAGAGGAUGAUCAGUCACACUGGAACUGGAACACGGUCCAGACUCCUACGGGAGGCAGCAGUGGGGAAUAUUGGACAAUGGGCGAAAGCCUGAUCCAGCCAUGCCGCGUGUGUGAAGAAGGUCUUCGGAUUGUAAAGCACUUUAAGUUGGGAGGAAGGGCAGUAAGUUAAUACCUUGCUGUUUUGACGUUACCAACAGAAUAAGCACCGGCUAACUUCGUG
rnacentral:rRNA from 1 species